rnacentral:rRNA from 1 species
UACGAAGGGGGCUAGCGUUGUUCGGAAUCACUGGGCGUAAAGCGCACGUAGGCGGAUCUUUAAGUCAGAGGUGAAAUCCCAAGGCUCAACCUUGGAACUGCCUUUGAUACUGGGGAUCUUGAGUCCGGGAGAGGUGAGUGGAACUGCGAGUGUAGAGGUGAAAUUCGUAGAUAUUCGCAAGAACACCAGUGGCGAAGGCGGCUCACUGGCCCGGUACUGACGCUGAGGUGGCGAAAGCGUGGGGAGCAAACAGG